rnacentral:lncRNA from 1 species
CUUCUAAUAAGAUUGGAAGAAUACCACUUGGGUACUUGCAUAUAACUCCUACUACCUACAUACUCCACUCCUUACAAGCUAACAAUGCCUUUAUUAUUAUUAUUAUUAAUGUGUGCCUGUAGUCCCAGCUACUUNNNNNNNNNNAGCCGAGGUGGGCGGAUCACUUGAGCCCAGGAGUUUGAGAUCAGCCUGGAAAACAUGGUGAAACUCCAUCUCUACUAAAAAUACAAAAAAGUUAGCUGGGUGUGGUGGCACACACCUAUAGUCCCAGCUACUUGGGAGGCUGAGGCAGGAGGAUAACCUGAGCCCAGGAGGUCAAGGCUGCCACUGCACUCCAGCCAGGGUGAUAAGAGUGAGACCAAUAAAAAAAUUGGUCUCACUUUACGCUAAACCUGCGGAUUCUAAAUGCUGAAGGUUAGAGAGGCGAGGCAUGUACACUUGAAAAGUUAAAUGACAACAAAUGAUAAAAUAUCAAGAUGUAACAAGACAUCUAAAAAAAAAUUGUCUCGAAAAAUAAAAAAUAAAAAAUUCUUGAAUCAUUAAAAAAAUCCAUUUUAUAAAAGAUCAUCUUUCUUGGAUAAAACUUGUUAUUCAAAUAGUUUUUUUUUUUUAAUUUUUUUGAGAUGAGUCUCACUCUUGUCAUCCAGGCUGGAGUGCAGUGGCACCCAGGCUGGAGUGCAGUGGCGCAGUCUCGGUUCACUGCAACCUCCGCCUCACGGGUUCAAGCGAUUCUCCUGCCUUAGCCUCCCGUGUAGGUGGGAUCAUAGGCGCGUGCCACCAUGACCGGAUAAUUUUGUAUUUUUAGUAGAGAUGGGGUUUCACAUGUUGGCCAGGCUGGUCUCGAUCUCCUGACCUCAUGAUCCACCCACUUCGGCCUCCCAAAAGGCUGGGAUUACAGGCAUGAGCCACUGCACCUGGCCAAAUAGGUUGAUUUUUAAGAGUAUAUUUGGACAAGUAAUU